UUUCUAUACAUGGUUGCCAACCUCGCUAAUGAAAGACCCAUAGAUGCCAGAACUCUGAGCCCGGAAGACUGCGUGGACUACAUCAGUCCGAAUUCUCUUCUGCUUGGAAGAACUGGACCUAAAGGAGAUCUGGGUAGCUUUGAGUCUGAAAGCUAUCCUUAUAAAAGUUUGAGAGUCAUCCAAACUGAAGUAAACUGGUUCUGGAGAAAGUGGAGUCAAUUGGCUGGGCCUAACCUUUUUGUGAGGAAUAAGUGGCACACAAAACAGCAAAAUGGCGCUAUAGGAGACAUCGUCUGGAUAGCUGACCAGAACGCAUUAAGGGGUCAUUAUAGGCUUGCCAGAGUCGUCAGUGUCAACACUAAUAAGAAGGACAUUGUAAGAGAUGUAAAUGUGAGAAGUUACCCCAGUUAUCCAGUUUCAACUGUGAAGCCUGUCCAAAGAGAUAAAGCAAAGAAACUGUCAACCAAAAUUAGUGCUACAGUCCUUCAUAAGGACGUCAGACGAUUGAUUGUUUUACUUCCUGUAGAAGAACAAGAGCAAGAAUAAAGGUAAAGUUAUAGCAAGAUUAUUGGUGUGACCUCCUUGGGUUCGUGCACCAGGAGGUCAAGUGGGAGGUGUUACGUCAAGAAAUUCCUGCAGAGGGCAGUGUGUGGUUGCUGAGAUGGAACCUGUGUUUUCAGGGUCCAUCAGAACAAUAAAAUGGUGCACCUCUAAGAGCACAUGGAGGUGAAAAGUUUGGUUGAUUGAUUGUUUUACUUCCUGUAGAAGAACAAGAGCAAGAAUAAAGGUAAAGUUAUAGCAAGAUUAUUGGUGUGACCUCCUUGGGUUCGUGCACCAGGAGGUCAAGUGGGAGGUGUUGCGUCAAGAAAUUCCUGCAGAGGGCAGUGUGUGGUUGCUGAGAUGGAACCUGUGUUUUCAGGGUCCAUCAGAACAAUAAAAUGGUGCACCUCUAAGAGCACAUGGAGGUGAAAAGUUUGGAGAAGGUCUUCAUUGACAAACGAAGGACUUUCACCUAUUCAGCUCAAAUUCAACCCUGAAGACACAACUGCUACUGUGCUGCUUCUACUAUUGCUUUGCUAAGCCUUUGCAAGCAGAAGAAAAAUAAAAAAACAGUAAAGAUGAGUUAUCCUCUUGUGUCCUUCAAAACUUAAAGGCCAUUUAUCAAGUUUGGGCAGAGCUGAAUGGGAAAACCUAAAAAACUUGACAAGCCCAUAGCAGGUUUCAUCAUUAUUUUGGCUCAGUUUGGUUGCCAAACUGAAGGGUGUGUCUCAUACAACAAAAAUAACUACAAAUAUGACUGUUUUAAUACUUUGACUUUUUAUUUCCCAGCACAAACUAAUGCAUGUUUAUGACCUGCUGUAAAAACAACACCGUGUAUUAGCAUCCUGCCAACCCACAACUUGGUGAGUCAAACUGAACAAAAUAUUCCUUGAGACGACUUCCUCCCCAACCAGAAUCAUUGUCUAUUCAAAUCACAGAAGACCCUAAAUAGAAAUACAGGUGUGAAAUGCAAAUACCACUGCCUCACCCUUUCUGUGAGCUCCAGCAUUUUUCUCCGCAGUUCUCACCACAUAAUGUUCUGUUCCACUGAACAUGAAUAAAAUAGAAUUGGUUUAUUUAAAAAAAGUGUUUGAAAUGUGAUAAAUAAAACUUGUCACUCCAAAUCCAUUUGAAUCACUUUCUUGAGUAGAACACAAAGAAGAUAUUUAGUUAAAUAUUCAAGUUGUUUUUUCCCUAUACAGAUGACACAAAACCUCAAAACUCCUUUUGUGUUCCACUCCGGUCUUAUGGGUUUGGAAUGACAUUGGCAUUGUUACCAAUAGUACUAAAAGACACAGAUAAGAUAUGAAGCCCAAAACAGCGUGUGAGGCGAGUAUUGCUUCCAUGGCCCUUGAGUUUGCUGAAGUGGUUUUGCUUCUGUUGUGAUGUGAGAGCAGAAGGAGACAGGAAGGCACUUGGCGUACUCCACCAGCUCGUAAGACUCACGGAUGUCCGAAAGGCCGAGCCAGAAUACAAUCCAGCGACCAUUUAUGAAACUGCCAUCACAGUGCUUGAAGUACCUGAGGAUUUUAAAGCACAUAAGACAUGAAUGACGGACAAAGACUGAGACUGAGAAUCACAACAGGGCAAUGUGGAAGACAAGAUACACCAGGGAUUGAUGCAGUUCGUAGCGUGGGAUCUCCAGAAGAGCUUGCCCAAGUCCUGACGAAUACACUCCCACAAGAUCUGACCAGUUCCUUGGCCUUGCUUACUGCCGCUGACCACAAAUUUGUCCAGAUUAGAUUACUUCGCCAACCUCAUGGAUGCAGCAGGAGAACAGGACUGACAAAACGCCAUGGCAGCCCAAGGUCGGCUGGGAGAUCACCAACAGCACCUGGUCGAGCUGGAUGCCAAGUUGACCAUGCUCACCAAGAAAAUUGGGGAACAACUCCUCACUGUGACCCAGUGACAAAGACAUGCCGCUCACUCCCUCUAGGGAGUUUUUCUCUCGCCAGUCUUUUGCAGAUAAAACACUCAGACUGUGUCUCUGUUCUCUCAGUGCUGAUUGACUGCCAGAAAUUUCAUGGACCAAUCCACCGUAGAGAAACUCAACAUCAUCUGAAAAUUCAUGCUAUCGAUGCAGGACCGUCACUCUGUGCACCAAGCCCGCACAGUACAAAGUACUGCUAUCCUCUCCCACUCAUUCCAUCAGCUCUGGAAUGACUUUGUUCAGCCAAAAUUUUCACUAAACUUGAUCUACACAGUGCUUAUAACAUUGUUCACAUCAAAGAGUGGAAGACAGCCUUUAUUUGUCACAUAUACUUUACAGCACAGUGAAAUUCUUUUCUUUGCAUAUCCUAGCUUGUUAGGAAGUUGGGGUCAGAGUGCUGGGUCAGCCAUGAUACUGCACCCCUGGAGCAGGGAAGGUUAAGGGCCUUGAUCAAGAGCCCAACACACACACACCUAUCAUGAAGACUCAUCAUGAAGUAAAGCUCAAUGUACCUUUACCUGUUUUAACAAACAUAACCAGAACCAUACAUGCAUUAGUGCAAGACACCAGUAAUAGUAUUGUAUUACUGGUGUCUUGCACUAAUGCAUGCAUGGUUCUGGUUCUGUUAUUGUUAAUAACAACACUAUUAAUGUUUUGCUUUAUUGCAAUGCAACAUACAAAAUAUGGGCUUAGCAAUUAUUACUUUAAUAUUUUCUCUUUUUCCUUGCCUUAGAAUAAAAUGAAAAGGAUUUUCUAAUCAACAAUACACAAAGACAUCUAUUUUGGUACAGAAUCACAUACACUCACUGAACACUUUAUUAGGCACACCUGUACACCUAGUCAUUCAUGCAAUUAACUAAUCAGCUAAUUGUGUGGCAGAAGUGCAAUGCAUACAUUCAUGCAGAUACGGGCCAUCUUCACAUCAUCCAUCAGAAUGGGGAAAAAUGUGAUCUCAGUGACUGUUUACAUGCACAUCAAUAUUCUGAUAUUAAUCAGAAUUUGGCAAUAUUCUAAUUAGUAUUGAAUCAUGUAAACGCCGCAAUCUGAUUGCCCAAUUCAGAUUAAGACAGUAUUCUGAUUCCUCAAAUUCUGAUUCCCGCCUCUGGAAUAUGCGUAUUUUAAUUGGAAAUUUGUUGCAUGUAAAGAUCUUAUUCAGAAAAUCCACUGAAAUGAGAUAUAUGCGCAUGCUCAGUCCGCAAGGAAUUGUGGGUGCUAACAGAUGCUUAGCUUAACAGAUGCUUACUUGACCCUUUCAUUUCGAGGUGGUGUUGUCUGGCAUUUUUGAUGGAGAGAAGUGUUUGAGUCCUAAUUAAAUUAGUGUGAAAAAGUAGUAAUAAAACUAAUAACUGAGCAUACUCUAUAAUCAACGGCAGCAUGGAAAAGAGCAUGUGUAGAUAGGCAUACUUACAACCAUGUAUACAAGAAUAUGCCAAUACCUCUACGCGUAUAAACAUUGCAUUCAGAAUAUGUCUGCAACCCGAAUAUAUACCUUAAAUGGAAUUUGAUGUGCAUGUAAACAUAGCCAGUGAUUUUGACCAUAGCAUGAUUGCUGGUGUCAGAUGGGCUGGUUUAAGUAUUUCUGUAACUCCUGAUCUUCUGGGAUUUUCACACAGUCUCUAGAGUUUACUCAGAAUGGUGCAAUAAAGAAAAAACAUCCAGUGAACAGCAGUUGUGCGGACGGAAACGCCUUGUUGAUGAGAGAGGUCAACAGAGAAUGGCCAGACUGGUUCGAGCUGACAGGAAGGCUACAGUAACUCAGAUAACCACUCUGUACAAUUGUGGUGAGCAGAAAAGCAUCUCAGUAUGCACAACACAUCAAACCUUGAGGCGGAUGGGCUACAACAGCAGAAGACCACGUUGGGUUCCAAUUCUGUCAGCUGAGAACCGAAAGCUGAGGCUGCAGUGAGCACAGGCUCACUAAAACUGGACAAUUGAAGACUGGAAAAACAUAGCCUAUUUGAGUAUUGUUG